rnacentral:rRNA from 1 species
UACGAAGGGGGCUAGCGUUGCUCGGAAUCACUGGGCGUAAAGGGUGCGUAGGCGGGUCUUUAAGUCAGGGGUGAAAUCCUGGAGCUCAACUCCAGAACUGCCUUUGAUACUGAAGAUCUUGAGUUCGGGAGAGGUGAGUGGAACUGCGAGUGUAGAGGUGAAAUUCGUAGAUAUUCGCAAGAACACCAGUGGCGAAGGCGGCUCACUGGCCCGAUACUGACGCUGAGACACGAAAGCCAGGGGAGCAAACGGG